rnacentral:tRNA from 1 species
GUGCAGAUAGCAUUAAAGGAAAGUGCGGUCCGUGAGAGCGGGCGCGUUGUUAGGUUCGAAUCCUAACCUGCACA